GUCCAUGUCGUUUGUCUUUUCUUUUGUUUCUGGAGGAUUCUGGCUUGUCUUGCUAUGUUGGCGUUUUUCUUUGUCAAAUGUUCAUUGACAUACACCUCCAUUCCUUUCAGCUUUUUGGUU